rnacentral:rRNA from 1 species
UGUGCCAGCAGCCGCGGUAAUACGUAGGGUGCGAGCGUUAAUCGGAAUUACUGGGCGUAAAGCGUGCGCAGGCGGAUUGUUAAGCAAGAUGUGAAAUCCCCGGGCUUAACCUGGGAAUGGCAUUUUGAACUGGCAGUCUAGAGUGCGUCAGAGGGGGGUGGAAUUCCACGUGUAGCAGUGAAAUGCGUAGAUAUGUGGAGGAACACCAAUGGCGAAGGCAGCCCCCUGGGAUGACACUGACGCUCAUGUACGAAAGCGUGGGUAGCAAACAGGAUUAGAUACCCUGGUAGUCCACGCCCUAAACGAUGUCAACUGGUUGUUGGGAGAGUGAAAUCUCUUAGUAACGAAGCUAACGCGUGAAGUUGACCGCCUGGGGAGUACGGUCGCAAGAUUAAAACUCAAAGGAAUUGACGGGGACCCGCACAAGCGGUGGAUGAUGUGGAUUAAUUCGAUGCAACGCGAAAAACCUUACCUACCCUUGACAUGUCCGGAAUCCUGCAGAGAUGCGGGAGUGCCCGAAAGGGAAUCGGAACACAGGUGCUUCAUGGCUGUCGUCAGCUCGUGUCGUGAGAUGUUGGGUUAAGUCCCGCAACGAGCGCAACCCUUAUCAUUAGUUGCUACGCAAGGGCACUCUAAUGAGACUGCCGGUGACAAACCGGAGGAAGGUGGGGAUGACGUCAAGUCCUCAUGGCCCUUAUGGGUAGGGCUUCACACGUCAUACAAUGGUCGGUACAGAGGGUUGCCAAGCCGCGAGGUGGAGCCAAUCCCAGAAAGCCGAUCGUAGUCCGGAUUGUUCUCUGCAACUCGAGAGCAUGAAGUCGGAAUCGCUAGUAAUCGCGGAUCAGCAUGUCGCGGUGAAUACGUUCC